GGCAGAUCUAGAUUUGUAAGGGGGAAAUUACUACAUGAUGAAAUAUUUUAUGAGUUAUAUUACGUAUGAUAAAGGAAAUAAUCAACAUUAAAAAAUACUUGGAAAAAUGAAAGAUUGUAAUAUACAUAUCUAAAUUUAUGAGGAUAUAGGCAUAGUAGCUGAAACAUAAAAACAAGGCCUAUUGACAAAAUAAUAAUAAUAGUAAAACCUUUUCACUCAUUUUUAAUUUUAACCAAACCUUGUAAUUUUAUCAAUUUGAUCUGCAAACUUUGACAUUGCUUUCAAUUUUAGUAAUUGGGUCAAUUGGAAGUGAAGGUGAG
rnacentral:misc_RNA from 1 species